UUUCCGUAGGUGAACCUGCGGAAGGAUCAUUGUCGAAACCUGCAAAGACAGAACGACCCGCGAAUCGGUGAAAACUUACUCGGGAGGGAUGCGCCCCCGGGCCUCUCUCCCAGGGUCCCCAGCCAAGGUUGUGGUUGAAAUAAUCCACGUCCUCGGGUGCGGGCUGAACUAACAAACCCCGGCGCGAGUCGCGCCAAGGAAAACAGAGAAAAGAUGGGCUCCCCUCGCCCCGGAAACGGUGCGUGUGGAGUCACGUCGUAGAUAUCGUAUUCCAAACGACUCUCGGCAACGGAUAUCUCGGCUCUCGCAUCGAUGAAGAACGUAGCGAAAUGCGAUACUUGGUGUGAAUUGCAGAAUCCCGUGAACCAUCGAGUUUUUGAACGCAAGUUGCGCCCAAAGCCGUCAGGCCGAGGGCACGCCUGCCUGGGUGUCACGAAAAGUCGUCGAAUCUCCCUCCCCGCGAGGGACGACGGACGUUGGCCUCCCGUGGGCUCACGGGCGCGGUUGGCCCAAAAGCUAGGCAUGCCCCCACGAGGCGGGCACGACGCACGGUGGUUGAAAGCGCACGCUCUCCUCGAACACCGUCGUGGCCCGGCCUCGUUGACGGGGAGCCAAAGACCCCGACGCGCGGCGUCACCAUCACGAUGCGACCCCAGGUCAGGCGGGACCACCCGCUGAGUUUAAG
rnacentral:rRNA from 1 species